rnacentral:rRNA from 1 species
UACGGAGGGGCUAGCGUUGUUCGGAAUUACUGGGCGUAAAGCGCGCGUAGGCGGUCUGAAAAGUCAGAUGUGAAAGCCCCGGGCUCAACUUGGGAACUGCAUUUGAUACUGUCAGACUAGAGUACAGAAGAGGUGACUGGAAUUCCCAAGUGUAGCGGUGAAAUGCGUAGAUAUUGGGAGGAACACCAGAUGCGAAGGCGGGUCACUGGGCUGAUACUGACGCUGGAAGUGACGGAAAGCCAGGGGAGCGAACGGG